ACCUGCGCAAACAUCAGUCCCGUUCAUGGGAGGCAACAUGCAGCUUUAAUGAGAAACUGGCGAACAUGGGUAGUUUUAAAAUGAAAUGUUAAAAAUGCUCAACUCCAAAGUGAUGGUGAUCAUUCUUGGCCUAAGAUACUUUAAGGAGUGACUACAGCGACACGAAACUACCAACCACUAAGUUGAUAGUUGAAGAUGUUUCUUGUGUAUUGUCUUCUCCACCUUCAGAAGUGAAACUGAGGAAACCACUUGCAGAGGAAAGGGCCCUCUGCCUCCUCGACCACGUCUGCUUCCAGCCCAGUGGCCUACCACAGUGCCAG